GCUAGUUGUAUUAUUAGUUAAUGCAAGAUCGACUACGUCGACUAAAGUUCUAGGUAGAAUAAUGAUGAUGACAAUUUUUUACCUAUAUGUCUUGACCAAGUCUCGUGCCAGCAGUCGCGGUAAUACGUGGAAGACUAGUGUUAUUCAUCUUUAUUAGGUUUAAAGGGUACCUAGACGGUAUUUCUAGCCCAAAAUAGGGUACGGAUUUACUAGAGUUUUAUGUGAGGAGGGGAGUACUCGUGGAGUAGAGAUGAAAUUUUGUUAUACUAUGAGGUAACUGGUGGCGGCGAAAGCAACCUUCUAUGUAUAAACUGACGUUGAGGGACGAAGGCUUGGGUAGCAAAUAGGAUUAGAUACCCUAGUAGUCCAAGCAGACAAUUCUGAAUGCCAUAGAUUAGAUUAUUUUUGGUCUAUAAAUGAAAGUGUAAGCAUUCCACCUUAGGAGUAAUGUGGCAACACAGGAACUGAAAUCAUUAGACCGUUUCUGAAACCAGUAGUGAAGUAUGUUAUUUAAUUUGAUGGUCCACAAAAAACCUUACCACAACUUGAAUAUUUUUUAAUUAAUACAAGCGUUGCACGGCUGUCUUCAGUUAAUGUCGUGAGAUUUUGGUUAACUCCAUUAAUUAACGUAAACCCUUACUUUAUUUAUUUUUUUU
rnacentral:rRNA from 1 species